GAGUUGGGGUUUUUGUUUUGCCUUUUUUUUUCUGUUCCUAUGGCUUGCCAUCACCACCAGAUGGCACCGUGGAGGCUAGGAUAGGAGGACUGAAGGGCUGACGUCACCGUCACACCGGUUCCCAAUCCACUCGUCAGCGGGACUUUAUGAGACGGAGACUGCCAGCAUACCAACGCUUGAGUGUUAGCCAGUAAUGCUGUUCCUGCAACUUCAAGUCUGGCUGUAGUCCCGAGUUUCCCCUUGCGACGCCGUGGGCACGUUACCCGCUGGUGCCCAAGGCAGCCACCACUCACCUUUUCCUCCGUAAAACAAGAAGUGGUGUCUGGGAAUCCAAGCAGGCAGUCCGCUCGCUCUCCGUGACGACGUCAGGAUCCUAUUACCUGUCCGCCCUCCACCGCAGCACAACCUCCACCUCCAGCACCCCCACACCUGGCCACGCCGUUGUUUUUUCCCCCUCUCCGAGUAAGCAUACAACUUUUAAGCUCUGGAAAAUCCCCCACGGUCCCUGAAUUCACCUCCCGAUCUGUUGUUGUUCCCAGAAGUCCUGGCUUACCUGUCUGUCGCCGUCCCUUCGAUGUUUGAGAGCCUACCUGGAAAUCUUUUAAUAAAUCACUUUAACUG